rnacentral:rRNA from 1 species
GGAUGCGAUCAUACCAGCACUAAAGCACCGGAUCCCAUCAGAACUCCAAAGUUAAGCGUGCUUGGGCGAGAUAAGUACUAGGAUGGGUGACCUCCUGGGAAGUCCUCGUGUUGCAUUCC